CAGAGGAGGGGAGAGAAAGGAUCUUGCAGGAAACAAAGAGGCGACACUUUCUGGGAGGUGAGACCUUGACUGGGUGAGAGAAUGAAGGCUUACAGACAUUGUCCUUGCCCAAGGCCCCACAGUUGGCUAAGUAGUAGAGCUGGAUACAAGCCCAGGUCAACCUCCACACCUCCAAACUAUAAAUGCUGUGGUUCCUGAGACAUUUUUGCCUGGCACUUAUCACCUGCUAUUUUUACACGUGUUACUGCCCAAAGAGAGCAGCCUCCCUCAGGACUCAGCCCUGCUGGCCUGGAUUCCGUGAAGGAACAACACCUAACCCUAAACCCUGCUGCAGCAUCCAGUUCAUCUUAAGAACUUCAACAAUUAGUCAUGCAAUUAGUCAGUUUUUAAAAAUCUAAAAAAAAAAGAAUUCUGUCUUUGUAGUCCA